CCAAGCCCGGCUGCCGUCUCGGCCCCACCUCCGGAGCCCUCGGCAGGGCCCACCGCCCCACAUGUCCCUCACGUCCCCAGCCUGGAGUGUGGCCCCGGAACUGGUCACAGUUCUAUUCACAGAGGGUGCAUGGAUCUGCUUCCUCCUGCCCGUGGGGUACUCCCGGGGACCGCCUCGAAGAGACACUGCAGGACGGGGCUGUGGGCUGUGGCCGGUGGGUCCAGGUCCAGCCCUCUGAGCUGUGUCCUGCUGCGGAAGAGUCUCAGCUUACCAGGCCCAGCUCUCCUCACCCGAUUCACACCCACGGCAGACGCUCAGAUGGGAUCUGUUUCUUCUCCCCUAGGGAAAUGCCUCCCUACAUCUGCUCUGGGUAGAUUCUUGUCGUCUAGAGACCCAGCUGAGCUGUUUCCACCACAGAAGCCUUUUCAGCACAUCCUCCAGCCACCCAGCUGCCCCUCGCCACAGUCCCCUCCCCACACUGACUGUGGCUCCAUUCUCUGUCUGUUCCCACAGUGCCUCACGUGGAAUGUAGAGUGUGAGGACAGAACCUCUGUGUUCUUAAGUUCUUUCUUCCCACUAGCCUGGGAAAGUGCUCGCCUGUGGAGGUAUUGUAUCAAUCUGCGGUCCCGUGGCGGGCACAUAGUAGGUCUCCAAUCAAUCUGAAGGGCCGCUCGGGGCUCCGACACAGGCCACCCCACCCUCUGCUCGGCUUCAUUGGUUGGUGGCUCAGUUUCCUUGUAAGUUGGCACCACUUUAUCAGAAGGUUGCAGGUGACAGUGGUAAAGAGAAGUAGUGGGAACAGCUCAGGAGAUGAGAAAAAAAUGCCUAAUAUCAUCACCGCUUGUUGAUCCUAGAAAAAUGUAUUCUCCACUGGAGCCCUGCCACUUCCUAGGCUGUGUUCAUACCCCACCCACCCUUGGCCACCAGUCAGGAACAAAAAAAUUUAGAACACUGUCCUCACGAGAGCACGGUGAGGGAGAGAAUGUGUGUCACACGAGGCCACACACAGGGCACCAAAUCUCUUGGGACAGAUAGUGGAGGUCUGAUGCUGACAGUUAAUGUUGGCCGCCCCUCCUUAGUAAUACCUUUUCCAGGCCCAAGUACAAACUCUCCCGGUAUAAUUUACUUAUUUUCUUUUGGUACUGGGGAUCGACCUCGGGACCUUGUGCUUUCGAGACAGGUGCGGCACCACUGAGCUAAAUCCCCAGCCCCCUGUAAUUAACUUUAUAUAACACCUAAGCACACACAGAAAACUUGGGAGUACAGAGCCACAAAGAGAAAGGGGGAGAGAGACAGAGCGAGCUCCGUGUGAAGAUGCCCUCAGUUAAUAUUUCCUUGGGUUCCUCCUAGAUCCUUGCAUGAACCCACAUAAGCAUUUACAAUUCUUUUAGAAUAUGGGGAUUACAUUGUUUUGGAAACUUGCCUUUUAAAAAAGUGAACAUGUGGCUUGAAUGUCCUUCUGUAUCCCUCCAUGCAUGGCUUCCGGUGGCUGCCGCAUGUCCUGAGGGGACCUUUCUACAGCACCCUCUUCCACUCAACAGUCACCAGACCCCAGCUCCACCCCCAAGCCCUCAGUUUUGCCCUAAAAGAGCAGCUGCUGAGUCCUGCACAGCCACACCCCUGCUGGUCCUCUAGGGAGGGCAAAGCAGGCCGUCCUGGCCUUCUGUCAAAGGCCCUGUCCCCUGUGGCCAUCCGGGCCCCUCCUCUCAGGCAGCACUGGUCAGCCCUGCUGGGAAAGGCCC
ensembl:lncRNA